rnacentral:rRNA from 1 species
AGUGAACGCUGGCGGUAGGCCUAACACAUGCAAGUCGAACGGCAGCACAGUAAGAGCUUGCUCUUACGGGUGGCGAGUGGCGGACGUGUGAGGAAUACAUCGGACUCUACUUUUUCGGGGGGGAUAACGUAGGGAAACUUACGCUAAUACCGCAUACGACCUACGGGUGAAAGCAGGGGAUCUUCGGACCUUGCGCGAUUGAAUGAGCCGAUGUCGGAUUAGCUAGUUGGCGGGGUAAAGGCCCACCAAGGCGACGAUCCGUAGCUGGUCUGAGAGGAUGAUCAGCCACACUGGAACUGAGACACGGCCCAGACUCCUACGGGAGGCAGCAGUGGGGAAUAUUGGACAAUGGGCGCAAGCCUGAUCCAGCCAUACCGCGUGGGUGAAGAAGGCCUUCGGGUUGUAAAGCCCUUUUGUUGGGAAAGAAAAGCAGCAGGUUAAUACCUCGCUGUUCUGACGGUACCCAAAGAAUAAGCACCGGCUAACUUCGUG